UACAGAGGGUGCAAGCGUUAAUUGGAAUUACUGGGCGUAAAGCGCGCGUAGGUGGUUUGUUAAGUUGGAUGUGAAAGCCCCGGGCUCAACCUGGGAACUGCAUCCAAAACUGGCAAGCUAGAGUACGGUAGAGGGUGGUGGAAUUUCCUGUGUAGCGGUGAAAUGCGUAGAUAUAGGAAGGAACACCAGUGGCGAAGGCGACCACCUGGACUGAUACUGACACUGAGGUGCGAAAGCGUGGGGAGCAAACAGG
rnacentral:rRNA from 1 species